UAAAGCCAACAUUAUAAUUCUUGGACGUAUCCAGAGACGCGCGUGGUCCUCUCUCCUGGACAGCCCUUGCAUGACAGUGGUAGAGAGGAGAUACAAAGAGCUGAGCAAGGAGGACGGGUCCCAGAUGCCCAGGAACACUGAAGACAGGGACUAGAAAGGCACCAUUUUCACUAAUUUCCAUCACCGUGUGCAUGUGGAGUUUGGCCACAGCAAAGUAAAUCAGUUGCUAUCUUUGCAGCUACAAGAAGCAGAGAAUGAAUGGUAAUUCAUUUACACUCUAGGACCUUGGUUGCAGCCUCGUUAUCUCCAACGGCCUCCUUGUCAUCUCCAUUUGGAUAUCUAACAGACAUCUCAAGCUAAACUUGUGCAGACAGCAUUCCGGAACCUUCCACACACCCUUAUUCUACCCACAUGCUUUGUUGACAAACUCCAUUCUUCCAUUUGCUCAGGCCAAAAGCCUUGGCUCUUCCCUUGGUCUCAGAACCCACGUCCAAACGCACUGUCCGGGCCUGUCUGAUUGAUUUUUCUGGAUAUCAACUGCCCCAGCUCUAACAGAUCUCCAUCAAGUUUUUUCUACGACUUAGCAACACAUACCUAAGUUUCCCUGGGAACUUCUAGAAGGCAGCUCCUGUGGACUCUCAUCAUCUCCCACCCCAUCCCCCGCACAUGUGUAAAUAAAGAAACACCUUUAAAUUGUAACAGGCUAAACUUUCCCCUACAGGCCCAUGGGACGGUGGUCUGUGUGUCACAUAUGGACCAAGGCA